GACGAACGCUGGCGGCGUGCCUAAUACAUGCAAGUAGAACGCUGAAGAGAGGAGCUUACUCUUCUUGGAUGAGUUGCGAACGGGUGAGUAACGCGUAGGUAACCUGCCUUGUAGCGGGGGAUAACUAUUGGAAACGAUAGCUAAUACCGCAUAACAAUGGAUGACACAUGUCAUUUAUUUGAAAGGGGCAAUUGCUCCACUACAAGAUGGACCUGCGUUGUAUUAGCUAGUAGGUGAGGUAAUGGCUCACCUAGGCGACGAUACAUAGCCGACCUGAGAGGGUGAUCGGCCACACUGGGACAGGGACACGGCCCAGAAUCCUACGGGAGGCAGCAGUAGGGAAUCUUCGGCAAUGGGGGCAACCCUGACCGAGCAACGCCGCGUGAGUGAAGAAGGUUUUCGGAUCGUAAAGCUCUGUUGUAAGUCAAGAACGGGUGUGAGAGUGGAAAGUUCACACUGUGACGGUAGCUUACCAGAAAGAGACGGCUAACUACGUG
rnacentral:rRNA from 1 species